ACAGAGAGAGAGAGAGAGAGUUGGAUUUAGCUGCAUUGGAGUAGGAGGUGGUUUUUGUUGAGGGUUGUGAGAUUGGCAGAGGUGCACCUAGGAAAUUUUGAAGCCUGGACCUAAAGGCCUUUGGAGGCCUCCCACCCCACACACAGUAUUUUAAAUACAUUUUUAACAUGAAGGAGAAGACAGAAGGAGAACAGCUUGGGUGGGGCACUGACUGACUGCUGUCUUUGCCCCUGCCCCACCUUUCCUCAGAUGAAAAGAAAUGCUCAGAAAGCUGAACAGCAUAUGUACCCAGUAGAGAAGCUUGUAGAGAAGCUUGUGUGCCCUGCUUUGGAGAGAUCUUUAUUCUAAUCAGUAGAUAAUAAACUUAUUCUUGUUUUCAUUUUA